ACUCCUACGGGAGGCAGCAGUGAGGAAUAUUGGGCAAUGGAGGCAACUCUGACCCAGCCAUGCCGCGUGCAGGAAGACGGCCCUAUGGGUUGUAAACUGCUUUUGUACGGGAAGAAACACUCCUUCGUGAAGGAGCUUGACGGUACCGUAAGAAUAAGGAUCGGCUAACUCCGUGCCAGCAGCCGCGGUAAUACGGAGGAUCCAAGCGUUAUCCGGAAUCAUUGGGUUUAAAGGGUCCGUAGGCGGUUUUAUAAGUCAGUGGUGAAAUCCGGCAGCUCAACUGUCGAACUGCCAUUGAUACUGUAGAACUUGAAUUAUUGUGAAGUAACUAGAAUAUGUAGUGUAGCGGUGAAAUGCUUAGAGAUUACAUGGAAUACCAAUUGCGAAGGCAGGUUACUAACAAUAUAUUGACGCUGAUGGACGAAAGCGUGGGUAGCGAACAGGAUUAGAUACCCUGGUAGGAUAGCGU
rnacentral:rRNA from 1 species